GACGAACGCUGGCGGCGUGCUUAACACAUGCCAGUCGAACGGAAAGGCCCUGCUUUUGUGGGGUGCUCGAGUGGCGAACGGGUGAGUAACACGUGAGUAACCUGCCCUUGACUUUGGGAUAACUUCAGGAAACUGGGGCUAAUACCGGAUAGGAGCUCCUGCUGCAUGGUGGGGGUUGGAAAGUUUCGGCGGUUGGGGAUGGACUCGCGGCUUAUCAGCUUGUUGGUUGGGUAGUGGCUUACCAAGGCUUUGACGGGUAGCCGGCCUGAGAGGGUGACCGGCCACAUUGGGACUGCGAUACGGACCAGACUCCUACGGGAGGCAGCAGUGGGGAAUAUUGCACAAUGGGCGGAAGCCUGAUGCAGCAACGCCGCGUGCGGGAUGACGGCCUUCGGGUUGUAAACCGCUUUCGGCUGUGACGAAGCGUGAGUGACGGUAAUGGGUAAAGAAGCACCGGCUAACUACGUG
rnacentral:rRNA from 1 species